GACAGAGGAUGCAAGCGUUAUCCGGAAUGAUUGGGCGUAAAGCGUCUGUAGGUGGCUUUUUAAGUCUGCCGUCAAAUCCCAGGGCUUAACCCUGGACAGGCGGUGGAAACUACCCAAGCUGGAGUACGGGUAGGGGCAGAGGGAAUUUCCGGUGGAGCGGUGAAAUGCGUAGAGAUCGGAAAGAACACCAACGGCGAAAGCACUCUGCUGGGCCGACACUGACACUGAGAGACGAAAGCUAGGGGAGCGAAUGGG
rnacentral:rRNA from 1 species